rnacentral:rRNA from 1 species
UUAUUAAUACCCCCAAAAACACCCAAUAUUAAUUAAACAAACCAUUUUUCCCCCCAAGUAUGGGCGACAGAAAAGGAACAUUUAGAGCUAUAGAAAAAGUACCGCAAGGGAAUGCUGAAAAAGAAGUGAAACAACUCAGUAAAGUUUAAAAAAGCAAAGAUUCACCCUUGUACCUUUUGCAUCAUGAUUUAGUCAGUAAAAACAAGCAAAAGGCACUUUAGUUUGAUUUCCCGAAACUAAGUGAGCUACUCCAAGACAGCCUAAAAUAGGGCCAACCCGUCUCUGUGGCAAAAGAGUGGGAUGAGCUUAGAGUAGAGGUGAUAAGCCUACCGAACUUAGUUAUAGCUGGUUGCCUGAGAAAUGAAUAGAAGUUCAGCUUUUUGGUUUCUCCCCCCAACCUGCUUAGCUAUGACGAACCAAAGAAGCCAAAAAAGUUAAUUAAAGGGGGUACAGCUCCUUUAAACAAGAUACAACUUCACCAGCCGGGUAAAGGUCAUAUACAAUUAAGGUAGAAUGUUUUAGUGGGCCCAAAAGCAGCCACCUAUAAGAAAGCGUCAAAGCUCCUUCAUACCACCCCCCCCUCCAAAUUCAGAUAAUAUAUCCUAAACCCGCUAAUUUUAUCAAGCCGCCCUAUGCUACCAUAGGAGCGAUUAUGCUAAAAUGAGUAAUAAGAAAAGCCACCUUUUCUCCUUGCACUCGUGUAAAUCGAAACGGACCCCCCAUCGAUCAUUAAUCGGCCCCAAAAAAAGAGGGUAAUGAACUAUCAACCCCAAUAACAAGAAAAACACCCAAAUAUCAACCGUUAACCUCACACUAGUACGCUCACAAGGAAAGACUAAAAGAAAAAGAAGGAACUCGGCAAAUACAAGCCUCGCCUGUUUACCAAAAACAUCGCCUCUUGAAAACUAAGUAUAAGAGGUCC